UACGUAGGGUGCGAGCGUUAAUCGGAAUUACUGGGCGUAAAGCGUGCGCAGGCGGUUUUGUAAGUCUGUCGUGAAAUCCCCGGGCUUAACCUGGGAAUUGCGAUGGAGACUGCAAGGCUAGAAUCUGGCAGAGGGGGGUAGAAUUCCACGUGUAGCAGUGAAAUGCGUAGAGAUGUGGAGGAAUACCAAUGGCGAAGGCAGCCCCCCUGGGGAUAAUAUUGACGCUCAUGCACGAAAGCGUGGGGAGCAAACAGG
rnacentral:rRNA from 1 species